UUUAUCAACAUUGUUGCCAAGUGGCCAGGGUCCAACCAUGAUUCUUUUAUUUUUCGAGAAUCAAAUAUUGGAACAUAUUUCGAAGCGCAUCAUAAAGGGAUCGAUGUGGAUGGACUACUGAUUGGUGACAGUGGAUAUGCAUGCAGCAAAUAUCUGGUGACUCCCUUUCUACGACCCACGACUGAGUCUCAGAUGAAAUAAAUGAUGCACAUACACAAACAAGGGCGGUGAUUGAGCGAAGUUUCGGGUUGCUGAAACGACGAUUUAUGGUCCUUCAUGGAGAAAUUAGGUGUAAACCGGAUCGUGCUGCAAAAAUAAUUGUAGCUUGUGCUGCACAACAUUGCUUUAGAGAGGAACGAUUGUAUGGAUGAUUUGGAGUGUGGACAUGCAGAUGAGCCACAUGUUCCAGAUUAUAUUGUAGUGGAACCAAGAAACAACAAUGUCAGACAGUUCAUUGUUCAAAAUUAUUUUAAUUAUAGUCAGUAUAAUUGCUAUCUUUAACUCCACCCCCAAGUGAGGUAUCCCAUGGGCCUCAAUGCUCACCUGAUUCACCUUCAACCUGUCAUUGUUUACCUGUUGUGAUUUUCAAGAAACCUUUUCAUCAAUAUUUAUUCCCAUAACAUGUUUACCCCCAUAUUGUGCCCUUAACCUAGCUCCAAAGGAUCACAACAUAACUGAAAAUGAAU